UGUGUGUGUGUGUGUGUAUAUAUAUGUGUGUGUGUGUGUGUGUGUGUGUGUGUUAUACACACACACACACACACACACACACACACACACACACACAC